CCCCCCACGGCCGUGUGUGCCCCGGGGGCCCAGAGCCCGGGAGAUGAGACGGGGCCAGCCAGAGCCUGACCCCGCGCCCCUGCAUCCUUAGGGGGCGUCCACCGGUCCGUCUCUGCCCAGCAGCCCAGUGAGGCCGGAGGCCCCCGUGCUCGUGGCCUGCACCUCCUGGGAGGCCCCGGGGGACCUACCGACACUGACCCUCGUUGGUUGGGGUUUUCUGCUCCCCUAAUACUCGCACAAUCUUGACUCCCGCUCGGCGGGGUUGUCGCUGCCCCGAGGACACGGCCUUAUGCUGAAACCAGGGGUGCCCGAGGUGCCGGGCGAAGUGCCCCCUAAGCCCGGGCGUUAUAGGGUGUCCUCCCGCCUCGAGGCCUGCGCCCCCGCCCCGCAGGCCUGUGUGGCUCAGCUCGGGGUGAGCCAGCCGGGGCUCGGGCCUCCGCCCUCUGUUCCUAAUACACUCCAGGCUGUGCACGAAGCUAUUCAGGUGGAUUCAUUGAAGCCUGCAGCUCUGGCCCACUCGUGUGUGGAGUGAUUCAAGAGAAGCAACAGGUUCUGAGUACCAAGCGUUGGCCUAGAGCAGAGGCCCCCCAACGUAUGGCCAUGGUCAUCUGUCUACCGCCUGAUUUGUGUAAGGCCUGCCAGCAAAGAAUGAAUUUUACAUUUUUAAAUGAUUGGGGAGAAAAAUCAAAAGAAGAAGAAUAUUUCAUGACAUGUGAAAAUUAAAUAACAUUCACAUUUUAGUGUCCGUAAAUCAUGUUUUAUUGAAAAAUAGGCAUGCCAUUUGUUUAAGUAUAGACUAUGGCUGUGUGACAAAAGCAGAGUUAAGUCAUUUCAAUGGUAGGGCAGGACAAAUGUCUCUUUGACUCUCUUAGGGUCCCUGACUAGGUCUGAAAAUUAAACUGACCUUUGUCAGGAUUAACAGAUUAAUAGGAGAAGAGCCUACAAGGUUCAUUGAAUUUUUACAUGGGAAAUUUCAUAAGAGAAUGAAGACCAGAACUGACCAGAGUGGGAAGCCUUUAUAACUUUGAGGCAAAUGGUAAAUUUGUGAAGAAUUGACAAGAUAAAGAUAUUUGGGAUGGAAGAUGGUAGAUAGGAAAGAAGUAAUUCGGAAGAUAAGAGUUAGUUUAACAAAGUUUGUUCAUGCAGACCUCUUGGCCUUAAGUUCCCUGCCCUCUGGUGAUAAGAAUGUCUUGGUCGGGGCAUCUGGGUGGCUCAGUCAGUGGAGGCUGGACUCUUGAUUUGGGCUCGGAUCAUGACCUUGGGGUCAUGAAAUUAAGCCCAACUCUACUCUGCACUCGGAUAGAAGUCUGCUUGAAAUUCUCUCUCCCUCUGCCCCUGCCCCUGCUCCCUCUCCCUCUCUCUCCAAUAAAUACAUAUUAAGGAAAAAAAAAAAAAAAAAA
rnacentral:lncRNA from 1 species